rnacentral:lncRNA from 1 species
GAGUCAGCAUGUUUUUGGAAUAGCGCAUGCUGAGGCCAUUGAGGGACUUCUGUGACUCUCCUUCAAUCAGCUCCCUCCUCGGGUAUGUGAGUCCUGUAUUGAAAUUCCCAUUCAGG